rnacentral:rRNA from 1 species
GUAAACGAUGUCGAUUUGGAGGUUGUGCCCAUGAGGCGUGGCUUCCGGAGCUAACGCGUUAAAUCGACCGCUGGGGAGUACGGCCGCAAGGUUAAAACUCAAAUGAAUUGACGGGGGCCCGCACAAGCGGUGGAGCAUGUGGUUUAAUUCGAUGCAACGCGAAGAACCUUACCUACUCUUGACAUCCAGAGAACUUUCCAGAGAUGGAUUGGUGCCUUCGGGAACUCUGAGACAGGUGCUGCAUGGCUGUCGUCAGCUCGUGUUGUGAAAUGUUGGGUUAAGUCCCGCAACGAGCGCAACCCUUAUCCUUUGUUGCCAGCGGUUCGGCCGGGAACUCAAAGGAGACUGCCAGUGAUAAACUGGAGGAAGGUGGGGAUGACGUCAAGUCAUCAUGGCCCUUACGAGUAGGGCUACACACGUGCUACAAUGGCGUAUACAAAGAGAAGUGACCUCGCGAGAGCAAGCGGACCUCAUAAAGUACGUCGUAGUCCGGAUUGGAGUCUGCAACUCGACUCCAUGAAGUCGGAAUCGCUAGUAAUCGUAGAUCAGAAUGCUACGGUGAAUACGUUCCCGGGCCUUGUACACACCGCCCGUCACACCAUGGGAGUGGGUUGCAAAGGAAGUAGGUAGCUUAACCUUCGGGAGGGCGCUUACCACUUUGUGAUUCAUGACUGGGGUGAAGUCGUAACAAGGUAACCA